CUCAAUGAAAUUUUAAUAGCCGCAAUUCGUGCUAAGGUAGCAUAAUCAUUUGUCUUUUAAUUAAAGACUAGAACGAAAGAUUCAACAUUUUUAUUUCUUUCUUAAUUACAAUUUUUUAACUUAUUUUAAAUAUAAAAAAAUAUUUCUAAAAAAAAAAGACGACAAGACCCUAAUGAACUUAACUUUUGUUUGACUGGGGCAGUUAAUUAAAUAUUAUUUUAAUUUUUAAAAAAAAUCUAAUAAAAUUAAAUUAAUAAGUUACCAUAGGGAUAACAGCGUAAUAAUUUUCAUUAGCUCUUAUUAAAAAAAUAGUUUGCGACCUCGAUGUUGAAUUAAUAACCUAUUAAAUGCAACAAUUUAAUAAGGAAGUC
rnacentral:rRNA from 1 species